UACGUAGGGUGCAAGCGUUGUCCGGAAUUAUUGGGCGUAAAGAGCUCGUAGGCGGUUUGUCGCGUCUGCUGUGAAAAUCCAGGGCUUAACCCUGGACCUGCAGUGGGUACGGGCAGACUGGAGUGCGGUAGGGGAGAUCGGAAUUCCUGGUGUAGCGGUGAAAUGCGCAGAUAUCAGGAGGAACACCGAUGGCGAAGGCAGGUCUCUGGGCAUUAACUGACGCUGAGGAGCGAAAGCAUGGGGAGCGAACAGG
rnacentral:rRNA from 1 species